CCUACGGGUGGCAGCAGUGGGGAAUAUUGGACAAUGGGCGAAAGCCUGAUCCAGCCAUGCCGCGUGUGUGAAGAAGGCCUUCGGGUUGUAAAGCACUUUCAGUGGGGAAGAAAGCCUUGGGGCUAAUACCCUCGAGGAAGGACAUCACCCACAGAAGAAGCACCGGCUAACUCCGUGCCAGCAGCCGCGGUAAUACGGAGGGUGCGAGCGUUAAUCGGAAUUACUGGGCGUAAAGCGCGCGUAGGCGGUCUGAUAAGCCGGUUGUGAAAGCCCCGGGCUCAACCUGGGAACGGCAUCCGGAACUGUCAGGCUAGAGUGCAGGAGAGGAAGGUAGAAUUCCCGGUGUAGCGGUGAAAUGCGUAGAGAUCGGGAGGAAUACCAGUGGCGAAGGCGGCCUUCUGGACUGACACUGACGCUGAGGUGCGAAAGCGUGGGUAGCAAAUAGGAUUAGAUACCCUAGUAGUC
rnacentral:rRNA from 1 species